GAAAACUGGGAAGAGCUCCCUGACUUCUGAUGAUACCAGAAUAUACUUUUUCCUGCAAUGUUGAUGCCACUUCUCAGAGUGCAGAGUUGACUGAGUGAUGGACAUGCUCAGAAGAGAUUCUUGAACACACCUGAAUCUUGACUUUUCACUGGCCAGGAGCCCUGGGAGAGCCCCAGGAACUUUCCCAGUAUUGCCUGCAGUAAGAUAUGAGGGAUGUAACCAUGUGGUCUCAUAAUCAGGAACUUGAAAAACAAGCCUGGAUGAGGGGAGGACCUGAAGAUAACAAGAAGGU